GCACUGGUUUAGCUCAGCGGUUACUUCGGUUCAUAAGUUACCUUCCAAGUUACUGUCGUUCAUCCUCCUAACAGGGGAUCGAACCGCGGGCGCAGUCCAGUGUUUUU
rnacentral:vault_RNA from 1 species